rnacentral:rRNA from 1 species
AGUGAACGCUGGCGGUAGGCCUAACACAUGCAAGUCGAACGGCAGCACAGUAAGAGCUUGCUCUUACGGGUGGCGAGUGGCGGACGGGUGAGGAAUACAUCGGAAUCUACUUUUUCGUGGGGGAUAACGUAGGGAAACUUACGCUAAUACCGCAUACGACCUACGGGUGAAAGCAGGGGAUCUUCGGACCUUGCGCGAUUGAAUGAGCCGAUGUCGGAUUAGCUAGUUGGGGGGGUAAAGGCCCACCAAGGCGACGAUCCGUAGCUGGUCUGAGAGGAUGAUCAGCCACACUGGAACGGAGACACGGUCCAGACUCCUACGGGAGGGAGCAGUGGGGAAUAUUGGACAAUGGGCGCAAGCAUGAUCCAGCCAUACCGCGUGGGUGAAGAAGGCCUUCGGGUUGUAAAGCCCUUUUGUUGGGAAAGAAAAGCAGCAGGUUAAUACCCCGCUGUUCUGACGGUACCCAAAGAAUAAGCACCGGCUAACUUCGUG